UGCCCAGCAACUCGUAUCCCUACCUCCUCGCGGUACCGGCCGGAAACCAUGAGCAACCUUAGGGAAGAUCGGGUAAUCAACCCCGGUGGGUUGACAGGGCUGCCAGGGCAGG
rnacentral:ribozyme from 1 species